GACAGAGGGUGCAAACGUUGUUCGGAUUUACUGGGCGUAAAGCGCGUGUAGGCGGCUUUGCAAGUCGGAUGUGAAAGCCCACGGCUCAACCGUGGAAGUGCAUCCGAAACUGCAUAGCUGGAGUCCCGGAGAGGAAGGUGGAAUGCUUGGUGUAGAGGUGAAAUUCGUAGAUAUCAAGCAGAACACCUGCGGCGAAGGCG
rnacentral:rRNA from 1 species